GCCAAGAAUACAUGAGAUUGGCUAACCAAAACAACGUGAAAAAAAUGAGAGAACAGUUCUCACGGUGUUCACCCUCCUCUAGAAAACGUUUCUCCUAUCUCCCUCUCUCUCUCUUGCUCUUUGAGUGAUCGAGUAUGAUGAUCAGGUUUUUUGAAAAUCCUGACUAUUGUAGAAGAAAUUGGAUCCAAGAGAACACAAAGUUGUACGUGUGGGAAGGAUUUAUUGGGAAAGGGCUAAGAUCGCGUGGAGACUUUACACUUGUGGAGUUUCAGAGAAAAUCGGUGAUGAUGAUCGUAAGACGAUUGAAGAAAUUAAUCAAGGGUUGAUUGGAGGUGUUGAUUGCUUAGAGAAAGCGGCCAAGAUCAAGAUGAAAUGUUUUUAUUUUAUUAUUCCAAUGUAAUAGUUAUUUUCAUGUAACUUUCAUUUACAUUACCACUUAACUAAGUUGAGUGGGAGUAACUAAUGAGGCUAUGUUACUCCCACCCAUCUUAGAAUCAAAUUAAUUUGCAUGAGAUGCAAAGUCAAUUUGACUCCGGAUGCCAUCCCAUAACCACUAUAGUUAAUAAUUUACAUGUGAUGCUUAUUUUAAUUGUUUAACAUAAAUACUUACUUUAUUAUCUGUGAUGUAAAGAUUGGUUUAUAUACAUAUAAACAAUGCAUUGAACGUAUGUGUGUAUGAUUAUCUAUGUA